CCUACGGGUGGCAGCAGUGGGGAAUAUUGCACAAUGGGGGAAACACUGAUGCAGCGACGCCGCGUGAGUGAAGAAGUAUUUCGGUAUGUAAAGCUCUAUCAGAAGGGACGAAAAUGACGGUACUUGAUUAAGAAGAACCGGCUAAAUACGUGCCAGCAGCAGCGGUAAUACGUCGGGGGCAAGCGUCAUCCGGCUUUACUGGGUGGAAAGGGGGGGUAGACGGCGGCGCAGGUCUGAAGUGAAAUGCCGGGGCGUAACCCCGGAACUGCUUUGGAAACUGUUCAGCUAGAGUGCAGGAGAGGCAAGUGGAAUUCCGAGUGUAGCGGUGAAAUGCGUAGAUAUUAGGAGGAACACCAGUGGCGAAGGCGGCUUACUGGACUGUAACUGACGUUGAGGCUCGAAAGCGUGGGGAGCUAACAGGAUUAGAUACCCUGGUAGUC
rnacentral:rRNA from 1 species